rnacentral:rRNA from 1 species
UACGUAGGGCGCAAGCGUUAUCCGGAAUUAUUGGGCGUAAAGAGCUCGUAGGCGGUUUGUCGCGUCUGCCGUGAAAGUCCGGGGGCUCAACUCCGGAUCUGCGGUGGGUACGGGCAGACUAGAGUGAUGUAGGGGGAGACUGGAAUUCCUGGUGUAGCGGUGAAAUGCGCAGAUAUCUGGAGGAACACCGGUGGCGAAGGCGGCAUCCUGGACCGGUAUUGACGCUGAGGAGCGAAAGCCAGGGGAGCAAAGCGGG